UACGUAGGGUGCAAGCGUUGUCCGGAAUUAUUGGGCGUAAAGAGCUCGUAGGCGGUCUGUCGCGUCGGCUGUGAAAACUGGGGGCUCAACCCCCAGCCUGCAGUGGGUACGGGCAGACUAGAGUGCGGUAGGGGAGAUUGGAAUUCCUGGUGUAGCGGUGGAAUGCGCAGAUAUCAGGAGGAACACCGGUGGCGAAGGCGGCUCACUGGUCCGAUACUGACGCUGAGGUGCGAAAGCGUGGGGAGCAAACAGG
rnacentral:rRNA from 1 species